GGCCCGUCCCCUCCAGCCCAGCUCGAGCUCCAGCUCCCGCGCCGGCGCUCCAGCUCCGACCGCGCGCCCUCCGCAUGCAAGCUGGCUCCUCGGGACCCGAGUCGGCGGAAACUCGGCUUUGGAACCUCCACAGCGCUGCACGGGUGAAGGGUACUUGUUUGGCCCCCUGGUGCCCAGCUUCCCACCCCUCUCCUUUCUACACCUGUCAGCGGGAAGUUUCUGAAACUACCUGGGUCUGAAUCCCACUUUUCACCUUUAAAUUGGGAAAAUGAGGUUUACGGAGGAAGGCAUGCAAAUAUUACCCGGCAUCUUCCCAACCUCCUAACCAUAUGAACCCACAUCCCCCAACCAUGCCAACAUUGUAACUUCCUCCUGUACUACACAGCGACACUCCCCCCCACACACACACACAAAGAGCACCCCUUAAUCAGACAACACUACUGUCUGCGAUGUUUGUGGAAACUUAACAAAUUUUAAGGCUUCAAGCCAAAUGAUUCCUUCUCAGGGGUCACUGAUAGCAAGGAUGGGCAGGAAAGAAGGGACCCUCCCUCAGUCCUCAGAAAGAGGAGGAGGAUGCAAACCCUGGAAUGGCUAAGGGAUUCAGAAGUCCAGGUAAUCUGUUCUGGGCGGUCAAAGAGGAGUACCUGCCCCUUGGGGUUCCUUGCUGAUCAGCCUGAGUGUUCUGGGGACAUAGUGGUAAACCUACAUGACUUUGAACGUGGAGCCGUGAGUAUUGAAGUGAAAAAGAAACUUUAAAUGUUAGCACAGGCUUUGGAAAUCAUAUUUAUCUCUCAGUUACCAGCAAUUUUAGUGCUUAAUGUUUAAAAUAAGAUCUAGAAGAAGACCAGAGACACUAAGAUUUAAUGCAAUGGACUAAGGAUGGAAUGUCUAGAGUUUGGGUGUGACCUUGCGAGAGUAGUUCUCUCUCUGGGCCGCAGUUUUCUCCUCUGUAAAAUAAGAGAGUUGGUGCCUCCCAGCUUGGAAGAUGUUCUAGGAUUCUCUGCCUCCAUGUCAACUUCUUACUUUCUCACCCCAAGUUAGUAGGGGCAGGCAGGGAAACCAGAGGAGGGAAGGGAAGGGUGAGUCAUAAAUAGCUGGCAGGCUGGCAGCAGACCCCACCCUCCCAGCCCUAGCAUUCGCCUGGACUAGCCCAGGUUAUAGCUUCAGGGUUGGGAUGGAGCAGGAUAAAACUGGACUUGUUUCAGAUUUUUAAGGCCCUGGACCCCUGAAAAAAUCCCAGGAGGCUUUAAGUCCAAGGUCUCAGCCCAGAGGUGUCGUCGGACCCUGAUCGUUUAGUUGCUAUAGCCACCUCCUCACCCUCCCAGAGGCAAAGUGCAGGAUCUUGAUAUUACAUGUCUGUGCCUGAGACAUGGCACAAGUGGGAAGCUGUACAACUGGGCUUCCCUGCCGCUGGGAGUCCCUUGGAAUUUAUGCCAUCCUGGGUCCAAGGCAUCAUUUUUCCUAAUAUUCAGAUAUGUUUCUCUAGGUACCACCCUUGUAUAAUAACAACAAGCUAAUGUUUAUUGAGUUCUUUCUCUGUGCCAUUCAGUUUGCUAAGUAUAUUGCAUGUUUUACCUUGUUUAAUCUCCACGUGGUGACUGAUUUCUCCAGGUACCCAUUUUACGGAUAAGAAAACAGGUUCAGGGAGAUGAAAUAACUCAUCCAAGAGCUAGAAUUCUAAUCCAUGCCUAUCUAAUUCAAAAAUCCAUUCUCUUAACUUCUACUAUAUACUACAUUUAAGAUCUGGAGGGUUUGAAAAGACAGGCAAGAGAGGAGUAUUGUGCCUUUCCUGUUUGCCCCUUUCUUGCUCACUCAGUCAUUUUCUCUCUCAGAUUCCAUUUCCUAGAACCUUGGAGCCAUCUAAGAAUUCCCGGGGGUAAUCAGAGGCUAAUUAAGCCAUACAGGCCCCAUUAACCAUAAGACAAUUAUGUAUUCAUUAGAUCUGUUGGCAGGAGAAGUUAGAUUACAGUCAUUGAAAGGGCCAGAUGGGUGGAGUCCUUUCUUCAGAAUAUUAGUGUCUCAGUACCUGCUUCUAAGUGUUCCCAGAGAGUGUCCAGAAUACGAAUGCUAUAUGUGGCGGUAUAUGGCAGAGAUGUCCCAAAUGCAGAGGCUGCAGAGAAGGUUCUUGCAUCAUCAGAAAAGAAAUUUUAGUGGGCCCUGACUGCCUCCUUGAGCCUGCCCCAACAACCCUAAAUAAGGGGGCAGAAGUGAGACAGAAGGUUAGGGCCUUGGGUUGAGUACCAAAGUAAGUGGCUUUUAAGCAUCAUUCAUCAUCUAACAGAUAAUUAGUUAGCACCUACUGUGUGUGCUCCAGGCUUCCCAGUAGCUCAGUGGUAAAUAAUCCGCUUGCAAUGCAGGAGACCUGGGUUCAAUCCCUGGAUUGGGAAGAUCCCCUGGAGGAGGAAAUGGCAACCCACUCCAAUAUUUUUGCCUGGGAAAUCCCAUGGACAGAGGAGCCUGGAGGGCUACAGUUCAUGGGGUUGCAAAGAGUCAGACACGACUUAGCAACUAAACCACCACCACCACCACAUGUGCUCCACGUUUUCUCAUAUUCCCCUCGCUGUCCAGAUGGAUGUUCUAGCAUCCCAUUUAUCACUUUUGGAUUAAUAUUCUCCAAAUAUGACUCCCUAACUUGAUACGAUACAACUAUCUGUACAACUGUUACGGAACACUUAAAACAUGAUGGGCAUUAGGAACUGAAGACAGAGUGGUGAACAAGUCUGAUAAGCUCCUGCCCUAUGAAACUUACAUUUUGGUAGGAGAUGACAAACAGUAAACAAAGAAGCAAAUAAAUUGACAAGAUAAUUUCCAGUUGUGAUAAGUUCUGUGAAGGAAACAAAAGAGGUUGCUAUGUAAAGGAGGGGGCCUGCCUUAGGACAGAAUGAUCUGGAAAAGUCUCUUGGAGGAGGUGACAUUUCAGCUUAGGCAAGAAGUCAUCUCUGCCAAGAGCAGGGAAGGGUGUUCCAGGCAGACAGAACAGUAAGUCUCAUGGCCCUGAGCAGGAAAGAACUUCCUGUGCUUGAGGAACAAAAAGGAGGGCAGUGAGACUAGACAGCAGUGUGUGAAGGGGAGAGUGGAACACAAGGACAGAGGGGGGUGCGGGUG
ensembl:lncRNA